GAGUUUGAUCCUGGCUCAGAUUGAACGCUGGCGGCAUGCCUUACACAUGCAAGUCGAACGGCAGCACGGGUGCUUGCACCUGGUGGCGAGUGGCGAACGGGUGAGUAAUACAUCGGAACAUGUCCUGUAGUGGGGGAUAGCCCGGCGAAAGCCGGAUUAAUACCGCAUACGAUCUGAGGAUGAAAGCGGGGGACCUUCGGGCCUCGCGCUAUAGGGUUGGCCGAUGGCUGAUUAGCUAGUUGGUGGGGUAAAGGCCUACCAAGGCGACGAUCAGUAGCUGGUCUGAGAGGACGACCAGCCACACUGGGACUGAGACACGGCCCAGACUCCUACGGGAGGCAGCAGUGGGGAAUUUUGGACAAUGGGCGAAAGCCUGAUCCAGCAAUGCCGCGUGUGUGAAGAAGGCCUUCGGGUUGUAAAGCACUUUUGUCCGGAAAGAAAUCCUUGGUUCUAAUAUAGCCGGGGGAUGACGGUACCGGAAGAAUAAGCACCGGCUAACUACGUGCCAGCAGCCGCGGUAAUACGUAGGGUGCAAGCGUUAAUCGGAAUUACUGGGCGUAAAGCGUGCGCAGGCGGUUUGCUAAGACCGAUGUGAAAUCCCCGGGCUCAACCUGGGAACUGCAUUGGUGACUGGCAGCUAGAGUAUGGCAGAGGGGGGUAGAAUUCCACGUGUAGCAGUGAAAUGCGUAGAGAUGUGGAGGAAUACCGAUGGCGAA
rnacentral:rRNA from 1 species